rnacentral:rRNA from 1 species
UACGUAGGGCGCAAGCGUUGUCCGGAAUUAUUGGGCGUAAAGAGCUCGUAGGCGGCUUGUCACGUCGGGUGUGAAAACCCGGGGCUCAACCCCGGGCCUGCAGUCGAUACGGGCGGACUAGAGUUCGGCAGGGGAGACUGGAAUUCCUGGUGUAGCGGUGAGAUGCGCAGAUAUCAGGAGGAACACCGGUGGCGAAGGCGGGUCUCUGGGCCGAUACUGACGCUGAGGAGCGAAAGCGUGGGGAGCGAACAGG